rnacentral:lncRNA from 1 species
CGGAACAGAUGGGUUUGGUGAUGAUGAGCCGGGUGGGGCCGGUGGGGAAGAUCCGAGCACGGGCGGGUUCGGGUUCGGGGUAGGAUUAGGAAACGGAGUUAUGAAAGGGGAGGAAGAAGAAGAAGAAGAUGAAUCGGUGGGAGACGAGCAAUAGUCGCCGGAGCAGUGGUGUGAGUGACGACGGAAGACACCCAAGCCUACGACGAGACCAAUGACUACAACAACGGUGACGAUGAAAAUAAAAAUCUUGGUGGCUUUUCCGACAUAGCAGAGCAUUGUCUGAGAGUGAAUCAGAAGAUUACAGAUGAGAUUGGAUUUAGAUCUUCUUUAUUUUCCACAGCUACUUUUAUUUAGUUCUUUUUCUUUUUGGUUGAAGAGAGUUUUUAUUUUUAACUUGAGUUGAAACGAGAGAGAUAAUGAAAACAUACGAUGGUGGGAGUAAACGCUAGCUAGGAUGGCCACGUGAAAGCCAACAUUGGCACGUCAAUUAUUAUAUUGUUUGCCCUUUU